rnacentral:lncRNA from 1 species
GCAAGUGUACAUAUUUUUGUGCUCAAAGGAGAGAUAAAAUUGUACAACCUGAUCUUUAAUUGGGAUGAGAUUAAAAUAAUGAUGGAAUUCUGAGAAAGACUCAUUGACCUUCAGACAAACACUUUAUCUCCACGUCAUCGUGGUAGAACCUGCUGCCAUCCAGUGAAGUUGAAUGGUGGAGGAUUCAGGAUACAUAGUAUUUAUCUAUACAGUAAAGCACAGUAAAAUGACAGAAUGCACCAUGACAGGAUGUGGCGGCAGACAUCAGUUCAGAUGGGUGUGAACAGAGACUGGAGAAACCGGCACAACAGUGCUGUCAGUGGUUACUAACCAUGGUGGUUAUACACUGCUACCCUUCACAACAACCCUAAGAGGUAGAUACAGUUUUUGGAUGAAGGUCAAUGAAUACAUUUCGAGGGUGAAAGAAGAAAGUUUUAAACCUGCCCUCCCCCCUUGUCCAGCAUGCUAAUAUAUGCAAAUAUUACACAACCCAGCAUGUGUGUGUGUUUCAAUUCAUGCUUAAUCUGCUGUGUGCAAACUCACAAAAACUCCACAGAAGUGGAACUUGUACUCCAGCAUUCCUCUUGGGACUGUGUCAGCUCACUCCUCAGAUCAUGCAAGAUGGUGCUGACACACAAGCCGCAAGGUUUAACCUUCACACCUCUGGAUGGAAGGGUGCUACUUUGACAUCUCAAGGACCCACCCUUCCAACAACAAGAUGCUGCUGACCUGGCCAACCGUUGUUAAUGUAUUUGAAUCCCACCACUGAACAAGAUGCUGCUGACCUGGCCAACCAACUCCCCACAAGCCCUGGGGCACGAAACCCACAGCAAUUCAAAUUGUGUCAACACCUGGAGAUCCCAAGAGCCUCCUCCCCCCCCCCCGCUUCUACAGCAGAAACGCAACAACGAAUCAUCAUGAACUAGUAUCUACACACAAGCUGUUGUUCUGUGGUCCUCUGCUCUUACUUGCUGCGGCAGUGGGGGAGUUUUAAUGCCUACUGUUUAUGUUGUAAACGCAAAAGAUGUUUGUAAUGCUUACAUUAUUGACAUUGUCAUAAGCAGCCGUGAACAGAGACAAGGCAGGGCGUGCAUGUUUUGAAAGAAAAUGACUCCGUAAAUAUAAAGAUGGAAAGAGUGGCCUAUACAAGAGUGGGAUGGCAUGGGGAGAACGGCAAGAUGAAGGCCUCCCUUCAAACCUGACAGCAAAGGCAAUGGGCCUUUAGGGCUAUCUCACAUCUCUUAACAUGGUGCAUACUUGCCAGUUUCUGGAGCCUGGACAUCCCGUUUUUCCUAGAUAACUACACAGAGAUCCUGCAGAGAUGAGAUCCAGUUCCCCCAAAUAGAUUUGCUAAUUAAGAGGUCAUACCAGAGAUACACUUGCUCCAGAAGAUCAGUUGGUUCUUAGGUAUCUGUGCGUCACCCAAGACAGCACUGAUUGUGUGGCCUUUAUAUGUACAGAGGCAAAAUGAGAAAUGAUUUUUUAAAAAAAAUAAUUUUAGCAGACUUACAAUGUAUCUUUCUGGAGAUUGUGAUGAAGUGACCCUGUGUCAGGAGUUGAUGGUAGAGAGGCAACUUCAUGACACCUGAUCGCCCUCAUUUUGGGUACCCCCCCCAUCAAAUCAGUCUUGGAUAAUGGCAGUCCCCUUCAAAGGGAGGGUUGCCGUGCAAAUUUUCAAAUAGAGGACGGCGCAAAAGGAAGGGAGGUCACCACGCCACACAGCUCAACCAUUUUGGCUGCCACAGAAUAAAGAGGCCUCUUAAAAGGGCGGUGGGGAGGAG